rnacentral:rRNA from 1 species
GCCAGACUCCUACGGGAGGCAGCAGUGGGGGAUAUUGCACAAUGGGGGAAACCCUGAUGCAGCGACGCCGCGUGAGUGAAGAAGUAUUUCGGUAUGUAAAGCUCUAUCAGCAGGGAAGAAAAAAGACGGUACCUGACUAAGAAGCCCCGGCUAACUACGUGCCAGCAGCCGCGGUAAUACGUAGGGGGCAAGCGUUAUCCGGAUUUACUGGGUGUAAAGGGAGCGUAGACGGCAAUACAAGUCGGAAGUGAAAUACCCGGGCUCAACCUGGGAACUGCUUUGGAAACUGUAUGGCUGGAGUGUUGGAGAGGUAAGCGGAAUUCCUAGUGUAGCGGUGAAAUGCGUAGAUAUUAGGAGGAACACCAGUGGCGAAGGCGGCUUACUGGACAGUAACUGACGUUGAGGCUCGAAAGCGUGGGGAGCAAACAGGAUUAGAUACCCCCGUAGA